UACAAGCUGCAUUGUACGUAAUAAUAUUAAGUUUUAACCUUUAAUCUGUAACAGGGAGUUUUUAAAGAAACUGGAAUGGCAUGCCUCAUUCAUUUUAUUAUCAAUGAGGACAAACAGGAUCGUUUCUGCGAACACCCACUUUGAGAAGUGGUGGUCUAAAACUUUCUUAUUUUAAUUUACGGCAAAGGCGGCUUUUAA
rnacentral:other from 1 species